rnacentral:misc_RNA from 1 species
AGGGAGGAUGUUUUCAAAUAACGGGCAUUUUUUAUAGGUUUUGAAGGCUUCGUUACGUGUUACUCUGUUAUUUAUUGGCGAAUCCUAAGUUGCAUGUGUAACAGGUGUUACGACCAUUACGUAAUAGUUAUGGCCAUUAUUUAUUGUUACGUAAUGGUAACAACAGUUACUUCAUCUACUACAAAUCACAUGGAAACAAUAAUUUUUUUCUUCUCAUUAUUUGUGUGCUUUUCUCUUCCAUAGCUGUUGUUU